rnacentral:rRNA from 1 species
UACGUAGGGGGCAAGCGUUGUCCGGAAUCAUUGGGCGUAAAGCGCACGUAGGCGGCUUCGCAAGUCCCAUGUGAAAGCCCACGGCUUAACCGUGGAAGUGCAUGGGAAACUGCAGAGCUUGAGUACUUAAGAGGAUCGCGGAAUUCCCGGUGUAGAGGUGAAAUUCGUAGAUAUCGGGAGGAACACCAGUGGCGAAGGCGGCGAUCUGGGAAGAUACUGACGCUGAGGUGCGAAAGCGUGGGGAGCAAACAGG